GUCUACAGCUGUAACACCCUGAACUCCCCUGCUUGGAAGCUAAGCAGGGUUGGGCCUGGUUAGUACUUAGGUAAGAGGCUGCCUGGGAAUACCAGGUGCUGUAGGCU
ensembl:rRNA 5S_rRNA 5S ribosomal RNA